rnacentral:rRNA from 1 species
AUUGAACGCUGGCGGCAGGCCUAACACAUGCAAGUCGAGCGGUAGCACAGAGAGCUUGCUCUCGGGUGACGAGCGGCGGACGGGUGAGUAAUGUCUGGGAAACUGCCUGAUGGAGGGGGAUAACUACUGGAAACGGUAGCUAAUACCGCAUAACGUCGCAAGACCAAAGUGGGGGACCUUCGGGCCUCAUGCCAUCAGAUGUGCCCAGAUGGGAUUAGCUAGUAGGUGGGGUAACGGCUCACCUAGGCGACGAUCCCUAGCUGGUCUGAGAGGAUGACCAGCCACACUGGAACUGAGCAACGGUCCAGACUCCUACGGGAGGCAGCAGUGGGGAAUAUUGCACAAUGGGCGCAAGCCUGAUGCAGCCAUGCCGCGUGUGUGAAGAAGGCCUUCGGGUUGUAAAGCACUUUCAGCGGGGAGGAAGGCGGUGAGGUUAAUAACCUCAUCGAUUGACGUUACCCGCAGAAGAAGCACCGGCUAACUCCGUGCCAGCCGCCGCGGUAAGAC